AUCUGCCACCAUUUACCCUGAACACACCUGAUCUCAUCUGAUUUCAGAAGUUAAGCAUGGUUGAGCAUGGUUGACAUUUAACUAGGAAGACCACUGGGGAAUACCAGCUGCUGUAGGCU
rnacentral:rRNA from 1 species